CAGCACCUUAAUUUUAGCCCAGUGAGACUUGUUAUCUAUGUAACUAUAAGAUGAAAAGGUUAUGCCGUUUUAAAGCACUAUGUUUGCAGUAAUUUGUUAAGGCAGCAAUAGAAGACUAAUAUAGAGUUAUAUGUUAAUGGCCACAUUAAACAAAAUAUAUAUCAUGACAAAGGCUUAAGAAACAUCUGGAAUAUUUGGAUGUCUUGGAUGUUAAGAAUCUUGGGUCUGUAAGUAAUAAGAAGCCAUCAAGAAAUUUCAGCUGGGGAUUUACACUAGUAAAAUGAAAAUUUACUUUCCAAAAUUAACAGGAUCAAUUUUCGUAGAAGCUCUAUUUAUAAGCACAAGAAAUUGGAAACAAGCCAAAUGUCUUUCAGCUGAUGAAUGGACAAACCAAUUGUGGCAUAUCCAUACAAUGGAGUACAAUGCAGCAUCAAAAAGAAACACACCGUAGACACCUGCAACAACUUGGAUUAAUCUCAGAGGGAUUAUGGUGCUGGCCAUGCAGGGACUUGGUCUCUGAAUGAGAUGAAGAGCCAUUAGCCUAUGAGCAGAGGAGCAGCAUAACAGGACUUCCGUUUUCAAGACACCUCUUUGGCUGUGAUGUUAGGAAUGAGGUAGAAACAGGGAGACCAGUUAGAAGGUUGUCACCAUAAUCAAGGUACCAGCAUGGGAGGGGUGAAAAGCAAUCAGCCUCCGGAUAUACUUUAAAGAGAGAAGAAACGGAAGAAUCAUCCAUGGAGUUAAGGUGAAAGCAGCACAAAUAGAGGAAAGUUUUAAAAAAAUUGUUCACUAGGGAGGUAUUUCCUGAAUAGAACUUCCUAACUGCAGCUACAGACCAUGUUAAAAGUGAUUGAUUUGCCUUAGCUACUGGCACAAAAUAUGGAGAGCAUUUCAAAAAGGUUCUUUAUAGUAAAACUUUGUUUUUCCUCUA
rnacentral:lncRNA from 1 species